GAUGAACGCUGGCGGCGUGCUUAACACAUGCAAGUCGAACGGAAAGGCCACAGCUUGCUGUGGUACUCGAGUGGCGAACGGGUGAGUAACACGUGGGUGAUCUGCCCUGCACUUCGGGAUAAGCUUGGGAAACUGGGUCUAAUACCGGAUAGGAAUCACAUGUGGGUGUGUGGUUGGAAAGCUUUUGCGGUAUGGGAUGAGCUCGCGGCCUAUCAGCUUGUUGGUGGGGUAAUGGCCUACCAAGGCGUCGACGGGUAGCCGGCCUGAGAGGGUGUACGGCCACAUUGGGACUGAGAUACGGCCCAGACUCCUACGGGAGGCAGCAGUGGGGAAUAUUGCACAAUGGGCGCAAGCCUGAUGCAGCGACGCCGCGUGGGGGAUGACGGCCUUCGGGUUGUAAACUCCUUUCGUCAGGGACGAAGCGAAAGUGACGGUACCUGGAUAAGAAGCACCGGCUAACUACGUG
rnacentral:rRNA from 1 species